rnacentral:lncRNA from 12 species
AUGACAGUAGCUUUGUUUCACAACCUAGUCAGUGUGAUGAAGUUGAGCCUUGUAAGUAAUUGGAAACGCUCUACAUAUGCAGGAACUCGCAAGAAGUGUAUGAACAAAAGAAAGUUUGCAAAGAAAGGAAGAUGGGAGGAUCGAGAGACAAAAAGAGAAAAUGCACGAUCACUUUGUCAUCUAUUGAAGCUCAUGCAAACACUGCCGAUCGGGGUCAGACACUCGGAUGAGACGAGAACUUCCCACUAAUCAUCAUCACCACCAUCAUCAUCAUCUGAAGACUGACCUGGAGGAAACACUCUGAUUGGUAAGAACAUCUAUAUUCCUACAGUUUUGUGUAACACAGUUAGCACUUCAUGAGUUAUUCAAACCUGUGAAAGUGUGAACGUGAAAAAUGUGCAGUGAAUAAUUCUGAACAUACGGUUAAGAAAAACAUCUAUUGCAAUGCCACGUGCUUUUGUACUUGAAUGUAUUUUUAAAUACUGCUAACUGUGCUGUAUAUGCAUAAAGUUUAUUUACGCCACAGAUGUAAGACAUGUUAGAAGAUAUUUCCCAGUAAUAAUGUAAUGUCUGAAAGUGAAUAUUAUUUAGUGCAUCAUAAUUUUUAAUUUAAAUAUUGACUUUAAGUCCCCCCCCCCACCAUGAAAUCCAUCCAUUGUGCUGUAAUUUCUAUAAUUAUUAUUCAUUUAUUUAGUCAUUGUUAUGAUGUUAAUGACAAAAAAAUCUAUUUAUAAGAGCAAGUUCUCCAAAUGUAUUAUCUUCGCACAUGAUUUUACAUGAUGCCGAAGCAACAACAAAGGUUUACAAACAGCUAAAUUUGAUAUUGGACCCCCAUUUUUUAAACACGUUAAUGCUUGGCUAUUUAUUAUGUGUUUUCUUUUUAAUUGUCAACAUUUAAAUCUCAAAUCAUUUUAACCGUUGUUGGUAAUUAUUUUGACUUUAAUGAUAUUCUGUCUGUUUCUGAUGAUCAAAAAC